CUCACCCCGCCUCUCUCACCCCGGAGCGAUUGAGAAAGUUGCGGAGGAGGCGGCUCCGAGUAGCCCGCCGCCCCCAGCGCCGCGGGCGGGGCUCUCCGGGCACCCAGAGCCAUCGGGCCCCGGAACCGCAGGCUCUCCUCGAGCCCCAGCCCCCAGCCCCCUCCCCCGAUCCCAGAGAUCCAGACUUUCCCGGUGUCUGCGUCCCGUGCGCAGCCUGAAAGGAGCCUGCAGACCCUGUCACCACCCAGGACCCACCACCCAAGGUCGCAAAGCUCCAAGCCCCAGCUCCUAGCUUUUGGGGAAGUGGGUAGUGGUGAAAGAGAGUUGAUAAUGUCGUCAUUACUACUCUCACUAGUGGGAGAGUGCUAUACAUACAUACGUGUACACACACACACACACACACACACACACACACACACACACACACACACACACACGAAAAACGGGCAUUCCAAGGAGGUGAAACUUUGUGUCGGCCCGCAGCUUCCAUGGCAUACGAGUCUCCUCUCCCAUAGGGGACCCGCAGCCUAGCGAGCCAGGGCACCUGGAAUUCAGGUUUAAGGCAGACUAACAGGGGGCGCCAUCAGGGCUGGCCAAAUUCUGGCUUCUAUUUCCCUGAAUUCCCGACCUGAUUCGAUCCCUUUGAACAGUGUGCCAGUGGCUAGGCCAGGGGGCGGUGUAGAGGUGAGUCUCCAGGGCUGGCCUUGAAGUCUCAGCCUGGCCUGGAAGCGGACAUGUCACUGCCUCGGGAAGGCGCUGUGUUUUCUUUUCCACAACUGAGAUCAUUGCAAGGAAAGGGCGCCCGGAAUCUGCAGGAAAGAAAGAGAGCCAGCAUACGGCCCGUGAGAAGCUCAGCCCUGGUAACAUGGUGGGAAGGGAGCAGCAGCUCACAGACCAGCAGCUGACCAGCUCACUUUUGUCUUAUUCACGUGUAGAAACUAACCAGACAGAGAACAGGCUGUCCUUGAAUGAAGGGAACAGCAAGGCCAGACAACGGUGAGGGCUGAGGAGGGGCCUAUGAAGUAGCUGUGGAUGAUUAACCAGCGAGGAGCUCUGAGCCCUGCACCUCGUCACAUCCAUGUGUCAAGACAGGCGAGUGUCUGGUUAGCACUGAGAACAUGAAUGCUCGCUGGUUAUCACUUUCUUCAUGAUGUUGAAAGGUGACAGGCUAAUAUUUAGGCUACUUAGUAUUUUAAUUUGAUAGUUGUUUUCUGUAAAUAAACUCAAAAGAACUCAUUAUUGUGCAAGAAAUCAGUGCAAGAUAAAUUAUAAAUCUUGCCAUUUUGAUGAAUGACUGCUUACCAGAUUCUUCCCAGAGAAUCCUGGGAAGGAUGCUCCAACACACACACACAAACACACACACACACACACACACACACACUUCACAUUUCUGAGUCACAAAUCAAAUGCAGGUGAUGGCAGAGAAUGUUUCAGGACAAGAAAAGGCUUGUGAGUGUCUGGAGUCCCUGUCCCACCACUUGACAAGUUUUCAGAUAAGCUGGGCCCAUCAAUCGCCUUGGGGAGAGACAUCAGCCCUUUGGGCUGCAUACUCCUUUCCUGAGUUUGCUAUUGAAACAUCAAUCCUAUGAGUAUGAUUAAUAAAUCAUAUCCAGCUCUUCCCAAAAGAGCACUUGGAAAGCAAAGGGCAUCUGGCUUCCCCGAAUAGUUAAUAAUGACUUACAUUUGAUAACGUAACGUCAUAGCAGGAGCAGCUCUGCUGGACCCUCCAAGUCUGUGUGGGUGAUUAUUACACGAGAUGCGCUUUCACUACAACCUCUCUUGUUGUGAUUUUGUCUUGAGUCAGCUUCUCUAGCCCAGGCUGGGCUUGAACUCCCCAUCAGUUAAGGAUGAUGUGAAUUAUACCUAUGCCUCUGCAUCCUUAGUGCUGGCCCCACAGGCCUAUACCUUCAAACCUCGUUUCUUCAUUUAUCUCCGAGUCAUACCAUUCCUAUACUUUCUAAAACUUAUUCAUCUGAAAUCAUUUAGGAAGAAUUGGCUUUAGAAAAAGCCAAUUGUUAUAGUCAGAGUAAAAAUAAAAUGCACUUCAGGCUUUCAACAAUUUAACCUCUCCCAAAUUAAAGACAUUUAACCCCCCAACUUUUACGCUGUGGCAGCCUGCUGUAAGUGGCUCUGUUUUCUUUCUUUCUUUCUUUUUUAAAUUUUAACAUAGAUGUUCUGGUGAAACCGAAAUAGCUGUGCCUCAGCUGCAAGAGUGUGGUCCCAGUUCUGCUGUGUCCUGCAACCUGCAAAUCUCCCUUUUGAGGACUGAAUAUGAAAUUAUUUGGCUUGAGGAUUUAAAAUAGAGCUUAUACCCCCAGAUCCGGUGUAAAGUGCAUUCCUUGAUGUCAGUAUCCGUCACAAGCAAAUGUGGAAUGCUCCUGUUCUGUUCCAUCUCCAGGGAGACCAGAUACAUCACAGCAGCUGCAGGAUUGGCCUGGAGCUUGCUCUGUAGACCAGGCUGGCCUAGAACUACCUGCCUCCGCCUUCUCAUGCUGGGAUUAAAAGUGUGUGUCACCACGCCCAACCUUUAGGUCUUUUAUUAAAUAAAAGUUUGUCUUAAAAGGAGUAUAAGUAGUGCUUUUGAUAAAUAACACUGUUACCCACCCAUCAUUUUAGUGGAUUUAUGUAUGUAAAGAACUACAUGGAAGCCUGUGUCUAUGUAUGAUGUGUGCAAGUGUAUAUGUGCACAUUCAUGUGAGCUUGUGUGUGUGCGCGUAUGUGUGUAGGCAUGCAUGUGGCACAGCUGUGUGUGGAGGGCAGGACAGCCUCAGGGUUCAGGCCUUGCCUUCUACCUUGUUUGAGGCAGGCUAGCUGCUCAGCAGGCCUCCCGGAAUUCUCCUGUUGCAGCUUCCCAUUUGCUGUGGGAGCACUGAGAUUUCUUUCACAGGCUCUGCGGACUCAAAGCCGGGCCCUUACACUUGCACGCAAAGCGCUUCACUCACUGGACCAUCUGCCCAGCCCCUCGGAGACUUCCAAUGUCAACGUUUUCAUUGGAUAAUGGACGCUGGGAAGAGACAGUGAAUGCUGAAACUUUCUAUCAUCUCCUGGAUUUGAAAUGGACGAAUUGGUGAGAAAUUUGGAGAACUGGGCUGUUGCUGCCAGUGGUGGUUUGGGACUCCCGUGUGUAUGUAGCUUACAUGAAGAUGGUGUUGAGCAGUGGGCAGAGUCUCGGCAUUACCAUUAGAUGGGAACAGUCACUUUUUCUGACGGUUCCAUGAUGUGCAUGCAGGCUACUGGGCUGCUUGGCUUUUGAUUUCGAUUCUGUUUUUGUGUUUUGAGGUAGGGUCUCUCUAUGUAGCCCUGGAUGUUCAGGAACUCUAUGUUGACCAGGCUGGCCUGGAACUCUCAGAAAUUCUCUUGCUUCUGUCUCUGAAGUGCUGGAAUUAAAGGCGUGGGCAACCAUGACUGGCCUCUGCUAGGCUUUUGAAACGAGUUUUUGUGCUUAUGAUUUAUCAAAGGAAACAAUGUUGCAGAUGUAACAUGGCUAAGUUUAGAUAGUAUAAGUGACAUACAGAGUCACACACAAACACACACACACACACACACACACACACACACGAAAGAAUCUCUGGUUGUAAACUGAUACAGGUUAGUGUGUUAAUCAUUGAUACACAAUUGGAUAUUCCUACGUGUCCAGUUGCUUCAUGCUUACCUCAUUACAGAAGUCAAUGAAGAAUUCUUGCUUCCUCUUUCUUCUUUCUUGCUUUUUUCCUAAGAUGAGGCCUUGUUAUGGUAUCCCUGACUGCAUGGAACUCACCAUGUAGAGCAGGCUGACCCUGAACUUACAGUGUCUCCCACCCCAGCUUCUGCCUCACAAAUCCUGGGAUAAUAAGCAUGUGUUACCAGUCUAGCCAAAAGAGUGCUUUUGAUUCCUUUCAAGAGAAGUAGAAACAAAGUUAAGAAUCCAAGAGCUGGGCAGAGUGGAUGACUCAUUUGGCAGAGUGGUCACAAGAGCAUGAGGGCCUGAGCUGGGAUCCACAGCACCUGUGAGACACUGGGCAUCUGUAAUUCCAGUGCAUGGGUGAGGGGAGAAGAUGGAUCCUCGGAGCUCAUUGGCUAGCCAGUCUGCCAGUCUCACUGAAUUGAUGAUCUAGCUCUUCCUGCCCAUCUCUCUUUGCUUCCUGGCACCCAAGAAGUGAGCUAGUUUAAUGCUCACCACCAUGAUGCUCUGUUUGCAAUACAGCUAACUGAUCACAGCCUCCUCUCCCUUCCCUGCGGGUCCAUGGCAGUUAAUGGUUGAUGGAGAGGGAGAGAUGUUUUCUUUAGUGGAGUAGCAACUGGUGAGUUCCCUAUGUUCCUGUGACUAACCCUUAGCACCAUAUUCCUGUAAGGAAUCCCACAGAAGUUCAUUUGUUCACACAUGCCAACAGUAACAAUGAAAACAACAGCAACCCUUCUCCAAAACCAAAACACCAAAACCCUGAGGGUAGAAGGAAGACGAGCUGAGAGGAGGAGGAUCAGUAGGCAUGAACAAGAAGGUAAGGGGUUUGCAAAUGGUAUAAAAAUAUUGUGGUGGUAUUGUGUUCCCCAAUAAUAUUUUUAUUAAUAAACUUAUCUUAGAUAAUUAAUAAAAU